UACGUAGGGGGCAAGCGUUGUCCGGAUUCAUUGGGCGUAAAGAGCGUGUAGGCGGCCAGGUAGGUCGGUUGUGAAAACUGGAGGCUCAACCUUCAGAGGUCGACCGAAACCAUCUGGCUAGAGUCCGGGAGAGGAGAGUGGAAUUCCUGGUGUAGCGGUGAAAUGCGCAGAUAUCAGGAGGAACACCAGCGGCGAAGGCGGUGCUCUGGGCCGGAACUGACGCUGAGGAGCGAAAGCGUGGGGAGCGAACAGG
rnacentral:rRNA from 1 species